CAUCGGUGCUUAAAUCUUCGAUUAAAGUGCGUGUCCUGUGAGCAGAAUGAUUAAAAUGCAAUUUGCCACGCUUGUGCAUGUGUGCACAGUCUUGGUAAAGUGCAUCAUUACAUCAUUUCACUGAAGUUACAAAUGUACAAAGUAUAUUCCCUAUAAAAAAAAAAAGUCUGUCUUAUUUGAGAAAUAUUUACCCCCUGACUCAUUCAAAGCAUUUGUUGCCAUCAAAUGCGGCAAAAUAAUCACAACCGCAAUGAUUUUUUUAUUACAACAAUCUGAUCUCAUUAUGCUUAUUUCUACUAGAAUGAGAGGCAGAAAGAAAUGCAUUAAUGGAAGAAUCCUAUCCUCAAUUACCCAAUUACUGCAAGGAAAGAGUUGUAAUUCCAGCUGCUAGACCUGAGGUGGGGGCUUCCAGGUGGUGUCGGAAGUGAUCACCAUGUUUUCAUACAUCUGGAAAUGUUGAAGAAGUAUCAGGAGAUGAGACAUCAAACAUUUGUUGUUUUUGUUGGGUGAAAGCCUGAUGAUCCCGUCAUCCCAGGAAUAUUAUGAAAGAAAAACUUAGAAUUAAUUAAAGGUAUAAUUGGAAGAGUGAAACUAGCUGAAUUAAUGCAAAAGCAGAAAAUGUUAAGUGUUGCGUCUCGUGGGGAAUCAAAAGAGACAGUUCUGAGUGAAAAAAGCAGCGCAGACGGAUGAUCGUCAGGCAGGUGUUACUCAACGCUUUUGGGGAACUGGCAAAUCAUCAAAAGAAGAUGUAACUGGAAUUGACUCUAAGAGAGAAUCAGACUCAAACAUUUCAGAUGAGGAGGAUCUGUUUAAUGUGUCAUCUUCACUCCUCAAGCAUAAACCUGCCGUUGAGCGUGACAAAGAGCUGCAGCUUCUUAACCAGUGGUACAGACAGGAGGAAAAUCUGGUUUCAAGCAUUUACAAACCUCAGCCGACCAGGGGAAUAGAAGAGAAGCCACGGUGUUCAGUGGAGAUGUGGUUGUGAAGCUGAAAUGCCAGGACCCUGUGGCCGCUGUUCAGGGAGAAGCUGCAACUAAUGACUGCUUCCCUGUGAUCUUUAGGUAAUGAAUGUUUAGAAACUGUCUUCUUGCUUCUCCAAAAGAGCAGAAUAUUUUAAAAAAUAUUUCGGUGGCCCCUGAGGUUUUCAGGAGCAUCUUUUCUAAAUUCUGCUAGAGUUGUUUGAAAAUCACGCUGGCAGCCUUCCAGCAGCUUGAGGUGCCUAAUUCCUCCUAAAA
rnacentral:lncRNA from 1 species